rnacentral:rRNA from 1 species
AGAGUUUGAUCCUGGCUCAGGAUGAACGCUGGCGGCGUGCUUAACACAUGCAAGUCGAACGGUGAAGCCAAGCUUGCUUGGUGGAUCAGUGGCGAACGGGUGAGUACCACGUGAGCAACCUGCCCUGGACUCUGGGCAUAAGCGCUGGAAACGGCGUCUAAUACUGGAUAUGAGCUCUCAUCGCAUGGUGGGGGUUGGAAAGAUUUUUUGGUCUGGGAUGGGCUCGCGGCCUAUCAGCUUGUUGGUGAGGUAUGAGCUCACCAAGGCGUCGACGGG